rnacentral:tRNA from 1 species
GUGGCCUUAGUUCAGUUGGUAGAACUCGAGAUUGUGAUUCUCGUAGUCGUGGAUUCGAAUUCCACAGGUCACC